rnacentral:misc_RNA from 1 species
UUAAGUUCAGCGGGUAGUCUUGCCUGAUUUGAGGCCAAUAGAUAGAUAUUGGGCAACCCUUGCGGGCUAGCUCAGAGAAUGCUUAGCACUCGGGCUAGCCUACACAGGCCACUAUCUGGCUACGUUUAGACCGAGUCCGGGGACAACAGUCAAAUCGCAUUGCUGCAUUGAUGUAUGCGGCACUCAAACAGACAUGCCUC